rnacentral:rRNA from 1 species
AUGCACCACCUGCACACAGGCCACAAGGGAAACCACAUCUCUGCAGUCGUCCUGUGCAUGUCAAACCCAGGUAAGGUUCUUCGCGUUGCAUCGAAUUAAUCCACAUGCUCCGCCGCUUGUGCGGGCCCCCGUCAAUUCCUUUGAGUUUUAGCCUUGCGGCCGUACUCCCCAGGCGGGGUACUUAAUGCGUUAGCUACGGCACGGAUCCCAAGGAAGGAAACCCACACCUAGUACCCACCGUUUACGGCGUGGACUACCAGGGUAUCUAAUCCUGUUCGCUCCCCACGCUUUCGCUCCUCAGCGUCAGUUACUGCCCAGAGACCCGCCUUCGCCACCGGUGUUCCUCCUGAUAUCUGCGCAUUCCACCGCUACACCAGGAAUUCCAGUCUCCCCUGCAGUACUCCAGUCUGCCCGUAUCGCCCGCACGCCCACAGUUAAGCUGUGAGUUUUCACGAACAACGCGACAAACCACC